rnacentral:RNase_P_RNA from 1 species
AAAACGCUCCGAUCUAUCGCUGCAUUUUUGUAGAGGAAAGUCCGGGCAACACUGAGCCACCAUGCUUCAUAACCAGAAGGCGUUGUGCAAACAACGACAGCAAGUGCCACAGAAAAUAACCGCCCUGCGAGGGGUAAGGGUGAAAACGGGAGGUAAGAGCUCCCGCAGCGUUUGGCAACAAACGUUUGGGGUAAACCUCAUGGGUUGAAAGUUCAAAUAUACCGUUUGCUAAGCCGGGCUCGGGCAAUGACGGGGGGUCGAACGAUAGAGCUUGCAAGUGAUUGCAAGUCGAGAUAAAUGAUAGAUUAGAAACAGGACCCGGCUUAUGAGAGCGUUUUUCUU